rnacentral:rRNA from 1 species
AGUGAACGCUGGCGGUAGGCCUAACACAUGCAAGUCGAACGGCAGCACAGUAAGAGCUUGCUCUUACGGGUGGCGAGUGGCGGACGGGUGAGGAAUACAUCGGAAUCUACUUUUUCGGGGGGGAUAACGUAGGGAAACUUACGCUAAUACCGCAUACGACCUACGGGUGAAAGCAGGGGAUCUUCGGACCUUGCGCGAUUGAAUGAGCCGGUGUCGGAUUAGCUAGUUGGCGGGGUAAAGGCCCACCAAGGCGACGAUCCGUAGCUGGUCUGAGAGGAUGAUCAGCCACACUGGAACUGAGACACGGUCCAGACUCCUACGGGAGGCAGCAGUGGGGAAUAUUGGACAAUGGGCGCAAGCCUGAUCCAGCUAUACCGCGUGGGUGAAGAAGGCCUUCGGGUUGUAAAGCCCUUUUGUUGGGAAAGAAAAGCAGCAGGUUAAUACCCCGCUGUUCUGACGGUACCCAAAGAAUAAGCACCGGCUAACUUCGUG